AUUGUACGCUGGCGGCAUGCCUUACACAUGCAAGUCGAACGGCAGCACGGGUGCUUGCACCUGGUGGCGAGUGGCGAACGGGUGAGUAAUACAUCGGAACAUGUCCUGUAGUGGGGGAUAGCCCGGCGAAAGCCGGAUUAAUACCGCAUACGAUCCACGGAUGAAAGCGGGGGACAUUCGGGCCUCGCGCUAUAGGGUUGGCCGAUGGCUGAUUAGCUAGUUGGUGGGGUAAAGGCCUACCAAGGCGACGAUCAGUAGCUGGUCUGAGAGGACGACCAGCCACACUGGGACUGAGACACGGCCCAGACUGCUACGGGAGGCAGCAGUGGGGAAUUUUGGACAAUGGGCGAAAGCCUGAUCCAGCAAUGCCGCGUGUGUGAAGAAGGCCUUCGGGUUGUAAAGCACUUUUGUCCGGAAAGAAAUCCUUGACUCUAAUACAGUCGGGGGAUGACGGUACCGGAAGAAUAAGCACCGGCUAACUACGUG
rnacentral:rRNA from 1 species